ACCUGGGUGGCUCAGUCGGUUAAGCGCCUGACUUAGGCUCAGGUCAUGAUCUCCCAGUUUGUGAGUUCAAGCCCCACAUCGGGCU
rnacentral:tRNA from 1 species